rnacentral:rRNA from 1 species
CAGUAGCCGCGGUAAUACGGAGGGUGCAAGCGUUAAUCGGAAUUACUGGGCGUAAAGCGCACGCAGGCGGUCUGACAAGUCAGAUGUGAAAUCCCCGGGCUUAACCUGGGAACUGCAUUUGAAACUGUCAGGCUGGAGUCUUGUAGAGGGGGGUAGAAUUCCAGGUGUAGCGGUGAAAUGCGUAGAGAUCUGGAGGAAUACCGGUGGCGAAGGCGGCCCCCUGGACAAAGACUGACGCUCAGGUGCGAAAGCGUGGGGAGCAAACAGGAUUAGAUACCCGUGUAGUCCCUGUCUCUUAUAA